rnacentral:rRNA from 1 species
GACGAACGCUGGCGGCGUGCUUAACACAUGCAAGUCGAACGGAAAGGCCUCUUUCGGGGGGUCCUCGAGUGGAGAACGGGUGAGUAACACGUGAGUAACCUGCCCUUGACUUUGGGAUAACUUCAGGAAACUGGGGCUAAUACCGGAUAGGAGCUCCUGCUGCAUGGUGGGGGUUGGAAAGUUUCGGCGGUUGGGGAUGGACUCGCGGCUUAUCAGCGUGUUGGUGGGGUAGUGGCUUACCAAGGCUUUGACGGGUAGCCGGCCUGUGAGGGUGACCGGCCACAUUCGGACUGAGAUACGGCCCAGACUCCUGCGGGAGGCAGCAGGGGGGAAUAGUGAAUAAUGGGUGGAAGGCUGAUGCAGGAACGCGGUGUGCGGGAUGAGGGCCGACGGGUUGUAAACCGCUUUCGCUCAUUACGAAGCUUGGUGUGACGGGAGCGGGUAAAGAAGCACCGGCUAACUACGGGC